AAGAUACUCCCUCCAUUCGGAAUUACUUGUCUCGGAAAUGGAUAUAUCUAGAACUAAAAUACGUCUAGAUACAUCCAUUUUUGCAACAAGUAAUUCUGAACGGAGGGAGUAUAUA
rnacentral:pre_miRNA from 1 species